AGAGUUUGAUCCUGGCUCAGGACGAACGCUGGCGGCGUGCUUAACACAUGCAAGUCGAGCGAGGCCCUCUUUCGGGGGGUGCCCUAGCGGCGAACGGGUGAGUAACACGUGGGCAACCUGCCCUCAGCUUCGGGAUAACUCCAAGAAAUUGGUGCUAAUACCGGAUGUGACCGCUGACCGCAUGGUCUGGUGGUGGAAAGAUUCAUCGGCUGGGGAUGGGCCCGCGGCCUAUCAGCUUGUUGGUGGGGUAAUGGCCUACCAAGGCGACGACGGGUAGCCGGCCUGAGAGGGUGACCGGCCACACUGGGACUGAGACACGGCCCAGACUCCUACGGGAGGCAGCAGUGGGGAAUAUUGCGCAAUGGGCGGAAGCCUGACGCAGCGACGCCGCGUGAGGGAUGACGGCCUUCGGGUUGUAAACCUCUUUCAGUAGGGACGAAGCGUAAGUGACGGUACCUACAGAAGAAGCACCGGCCAACUACGUGCCAGCAGCCGCGGUAAUACGUAGGGUGCAAGCGUUGUCCGGAAUUAUUGGGCGUAAAGAGCUCGUAGGCGGUCUGUCACGUCGGCUGUGAAAACCCGAGGCUCAACCUCGGGCCUGCAGUCGAUACGGGCAAACUGGAGUACUGCAGGGGAGACUGGAAUUCCUGGUGUAGCGGUGAAAUGCGCAGAUAUCAGGAGGAACACCGGUGGCGAAGGCGGGUCUCUGGGCAGUAACUGACGCUGAGGAGCGAAAGCGUGGGGAGCGAACAGGAUUAGAUACCCUAGUAGUCC
rnacentral:rRNA from 1 species